rnacentral:rRNA from 1 species
UACGGAGGGGGCUAGCGUUGUUCGGAAUUACUGGGCGUAAAGCGCACGUAGGCGGCUUUGCAAGUUAGAGGUGAAAGCCCGGGGCUCAACUCCGGAAUUGCCUUUAAAACUGCAUCGCUAGAAUUGUGGAGAGGUAAGUGGAAUUCCGAGUGUAGAGGUGAAAUUCGUAGAUAUUCGGAAGAACACCGGUGGCGAAGGCGACUUACUGGACACAUAUUGACGCUGAGGUGCGAAAGCUAGGGGAGCAAACGGG